rnacentral:tRNA from 1 species
UAGCUCAGUCAGUUAGAGCGUGAUGCUGGUAACACCAAGGCCAUGGGUUCGAUCCCCGU